CGGCCGGCGCAGGGUGAGUAACACGUAUCCAACCUGCCGAUAACUCGGGGAUAGCCUUUCGAAAGAAAGAUUAAUACCCGAUGGUAUAAUAAAACCGCAUGGUUUAAUUAUUAAAGAAUUUCGGUUAUCGGUGGGGAUGCGUUCCAUUAGGCAGUUGGUGAGGUAACGGCUCACCAAACCUUCGAUGGAUAGGGGUUCUGAGAGGAAGGUCCCCCACAUUGGAACUGAGACACGGUCCAA
rnacentral:rRNA from 1 species